CAGUUGUCAAUAUCUAAGAAGUGCUGUAAUCCAUGGCUAUCACACAGUGGCCCAAAGAAACAUGGCUGCUACAACUGACUAACCUCAUACCGUAGAGGUCUAAGGAUGGUAGGUGUGCACACACUGUUAUGCAGCAUAAUUAGUUUUCCUGGCACAGAGUCAGCACUGAGGCAUGGCCGAAUUCUGUUCCAGCUGCUCCGUACUGGAUCCAGUCAGACACCAUGCUAAAGCCACAUCUCAUUACUGCUAGAUGACUGGGUGAGUGCUUCCUUCAGCCUCAUCCAACUGUACAGGAAUGAGUACAAUGAUAAACUUGGAAAUUGUAGCCGCUGCUCUGCCAAUAUUCCUGCUGGUUAUUAUAAAAAAAAUUAAACUGUUUGCUCAAUUCUACAGAGCAAACGGUGGCUGCUUCUAAAGCAGGAACAUGAGAAUUGGUCAACUCCUUCAAUCAGGCUCCACAAGGGAAACAGUGUCUUGUGCUAAAAGCUGGCACCAUCUGCCCUUGAGUGAUUUAUACUUGAAAUAUGUACCUUACUCUAGUGUUGUAAUAAAGUCUUUACUGUGUUAAA